UAGGGAAUAUUAGUAAUGGGCGAAAGCCUGAACUAGCAACACCGCGUGUGCGAAGAAGGCCUUCGGGUUGUAAAGCCCUUUUUGAGAGGAUGAGGAAGGACGGUACUCUCAGAAUAAGUCUCGGCUAACUACGUGCCAGCAGCCGCGGUAACACGUAGGAGGCAAACGUUAUCCGGAUUUACUGGGCGUAAAGCGCGUGUAGGUGGUUUGGUAAGUAGAGCGUGAAAGCUCCGGGCUCAACUGGGAGAGGUCGGUCGAAACUGCCGGACUAGAGGAUGGUAGAGGGAGGUGGAAUUCCGGGUGUAGCGGUGGAAUGCGCAGAUAUCCGGAGGAACACCAGUGGCGAAAGCGGCCUCCUGGACCACUCCUGACACUCAGGCGCGAAAGCUAGGGUAGCAAACG
rnacentral:rRNA from 1 species